GAUGAAGAACGUAGCGAAAUGCGAUACUUGGUGUGAAUUGCAGAAUCCCGUGAACCAUCGAGUCUUUGAACGCAAGUUGCGCCCGAAGCCGUCAGGCCGAGGGCACGCCUGCCUGGGCGUCACACGCCGUUGCCCCCCCGCGCCCCGCACCCAACUCUUUGGGAGCGACCGCGGGGCGGGCUGAUGAUGGCCUCCCGUGCGCUCCGCCGCGCGGUUGGCCCAAAUACCGAGUCCCCGGCGACGUGCGCCACGACGAGCGGUGGUUGAGAGACCUCUGUCGCAAGUCGUGCGCGCCCGUCGCGUCACGCGGGCUCGCAUAGCGCCUCGCGCCGCACCCGGUGCGGAGCUUUCAACGCGACCCCAGGUCAGGCGGGGUUACCCGCUGAAUUUAAGCAUAUCAAUAAGCGGAGGA
rnacentral:misc_RNA from 1 species